GUGCAAUUGUCACAUGGGUCUGAUGUAUUUCGAUGGAACCUCCAUGAGAAUGGACAAUUUUCAGUUGAGUCCAUGUAUAGAGCGUUAAUCCAGUCUGAUAUUAUUACUAGUAAUAAGAAGAUCUAAAAGAUGAAGAUACCUCUUAAGAAUAAAAUCUUUGCAUGGUAUCUUCGUCGCGGAGUCAUUCUUACUAAAGAUAACCUUAUUAAGAGGAAUUGGUAUGGAAGUUCGCAAUGUGUCUUUUGUCACCACGAUGAGACAAUAAAACAUUUAUUCUUCCAAUGCAAAUAG
rnacentral:rRNA from 1 species